UGAAGCUUGGACUCUUCAACACUUCUGUGAUCUUCCUAUUGGGUCUGGACACCCUUUCUCUAUAGCUCUAUGUGUAUGACUCCCAUACAGUAGUAUCUUAGCACUUACAAGUAUUUGUGGAUUUACCUUCACAGCACCACUGAGUUAGGUUAUAAGCUCUUCAAGGCGGGGAUUGUGCAACUGCAGUAAACAAAAUAAAUAAGAGGAUAUAAUCAGACUGCUGUGGCCAUGAGUUCCACGGUGUCCUGUGAGAAACAAUUUAAGAUGCAAGGCUGACAAUUUUUGCAUGUGCCUGAGCUUGGUGCAUUAUGGGAGAUGUACUCUGGUUGCGGAGCUGGUCCCUUGAGGGCAUGAGGAAUCUGGAACUACAACUCUCCUAGAGUGCUGUGGUGGUACAGAAAGCUGCAGAGAUUAAUGCUGACUUGAAAUAAAACUUAU